GAUGAACGCUGGCGGCGUGCCUAAUACAUGCCAGUCGAGCGAACAAACGAGGAGCUUGCUCCUCUGACGUUAGCGGCGGACGGGUGAGUAACACGUGGAUAACCUACCUAUAAGACUGGGAUAACUUCGGGAAACCGGAGCUAAUACCGGAUAAUAUAUUGAACCGCAUGGUUCAAUAGUGAAAGACGGUUUUGCUGUCACUUAUAGAUGGAUCCGCGCCGCAUUAGCUAGUUGGUAAGGUAACGGCUUACCAAGGCAACGAUGCGUAGCCGACCUGAGAGGGUGAUCGGCCACACUGGAACUGAGACACGGUCCAGACUCCUACGGGAGGCAGCAGUAGGGAAUCUUCCGCAAUGGGCGAAAGCCUGACGGAGCAACGCCGCGUGAGUGAUGAAGGUCUUCGGAUCGUAAAACUCUGUUAUUAGGGAAGAACAAAUGUGUAAGUAACUAUGCACGUCUUGACGGUACCUAAUCAGAAAGCCACGGCUAACUACGUG
rnacentral:rRNA from 1 species